CUUAGCUCUAAGUAACACAUUUUCGGGGCCGGGGAGGGGGGGUGUUUCUGUGCAGGGGCCAAACCGUGCCCCGGCGCGGGUGGGACAGAUGGAGGGGGCCGGGGCCGGCGUACAGACCCGGGGCAUUGCGGCGGCGGGUGUCACGGCGCCGCCUAGCCCGGAGCUUAGCACCGCUGCUCUCGCCGAGAGGCUGCGCUAAGCUGCCCAAGGAGGCGCGAGGCCGUGCCCUGCGUCGCACCCUGACCCGCCGCCCUAACCGCUUCAGCCUCCCCUGGCACAGGCGUUCGGGGUGCGGCAGCGCUGCUUUCCCGCUCUCGGAGGUGUAACGUGCCCGCGCCUAGCCUCCUGCCGGCCCGCAAAGGCGCCUUGUCUGCGGCUUCCAGCGCCGGCCGGGCUCUCCAGUCCCUCCGAGCCGCUGUCCGCGCUUCCCUCCGUUUAUUUAAAAAACCAGUAUUUUCAUGACUCCGCCUCAGCGCCCCAUCAUUUACCUUGGGUACCAUUGUGCACAGGGUUGGCAUUGUGCUACUUAAGAUUUGCCACAUCUUUCUUUUGUAAGAAGCUGGGUGUCGAACUGCAAGCUGGGUGUCGAACUCAGGCCAUCACUUGAUGAAUUACACGUUUCUUCUUUUUCUCUGGGUGCUCAAGUGGAAUUACAAUAAUAGCAUCUUCUGGGCUCUUCUGCUUUUUCAGGAGAUUUGGGACAAGAACUGGAGGAGUGAACCUGGGGAAGAUUGAUGAACACAGUGGUGUCCACAUCAAAAGGAACUUAUAACCUAGUGCUGGCUAGGAUUUAUCUGACCAUUCCAUCAAUACAUUAUACAUUCCUAGCAAUAUCAUGGAUUUAGAACCAAGAUAUUAUACAAGAAAUCAUUCCCAAUGACAUGCCGCUCAGUGCAGGUUGAAAUGAUGUGAUGAAGAAUACCAGCUGUCUUAUUUACAACAUCUCUAAAAGAAUAACGGUGAAAUCACUUGGGGAGAAUAGGCAAGGUUCCAUGUACUCCAUGGUAAACUGCACCUAAAUGCUGCAUCAAGGGCACUGAACGCCGCAAGACAGCUGAUUGCCACGGGCAGGAGGUCGGGGGAGCAGGGAGAAGGCGCUGAUCCGCAGGGUGUGCCAGCGGGCGGGAGGCUCUGGGGGGGGGCAUAGGAAAGCUGAUAGGGAGGCAGCCAGCCUGUUUAAUAUCUGUAUUAAAAGCUUGUUUAAAAUUGUUUAAAACUUAUGCCUCUAUUAAAUUGCUUGUUUAAAAUUGUUUAAAAUGUAUAUAAUGCAUUUUGUCUGGCAAAAAAAAAAAAAUUCCCUGGAACCUAACCCUCCCUAUUUUCAUUAAUUCUUAUGGAGAAAUUGGAUUAGCUUAACAUCGUUUCGCUUAAAGUCACAUUUUUCAGGAACAUAACUACGUUAAGUGAGGAGUUACUGUACCCCAAUCAGACUAAUUGCCUGUGUAUUAUUUAUGUAACUAUUACAUUUUGUUAUUUUACACAGUCCUUUCAUCUUCAGUUUUCAAUGUGCUAUGAAUUCUUAAACUGUUCUAUAAAUGUUGCAAGCUGGAGAGGGGAUAGUUAGGACUUUUGGCUUCUAUGGAGAUAAAGGAGGCUAUUUGGGGUUGUAGGAUAAGCAUAGAAGCUAGACAUUACUGCUCAAAUAUUGACAGUGAAAUUGACAUUUUUAGGUUUCAGAGUUAAACAAGUCAACAUGAAUGAGACAGUUAAUGCUUUUCAGCUCUUGUUGUAUUCAGUCUAACAAUUCAAGACACCAACAUUGCAUCAAUUUUCACUUUGUUCACUGUUUAAAGGUACUCUUCCCACCAAUGACUAGACAUUUUUUUUUAGAAUAGAGCUUAGGUUUUGCAACACAAAUUCCGUGGCAAAGAGUUGAUUCCACUGGAAAUUUCACACACUACCAACAGUCUGGCAAUAGAAUAGCCUCUUAAAUGAAAUGCUAGUCUCCUUAUCCAGGUCUGGGGGAUUUGGUGAUGAUUAUACUCUUGGCUUGAAUUGUAAUCUGUUCUCCACUGCCACAGAAUA